AAGUAUAGAAAACUUAAAAACAAAAAAUAAUAAAGAAAUCGAUAACAAUUUAAUAAAUUAUGAAGACGAAGAAUACAUGUUAUUUUUAUCUUAUAUAUAUAAUGAUGUUAAAGCUUUUAUUGAAAAUAAUCAACAGUAUUACUUAAAUAACGUUUCUAAUUUUUUAGAUAUAGAAGAUUUUAUUUUAGACACUUGGGGUACUAUUUCUCGCCAGAGUUAUAAUAAUAUAAAAUAUAUUUGUGAUUCAAAAAAUAUAAAUAAAAAAAAAAAAAAAAAAAAAAAUAUACAAAGAAAAAAUACUAAUUAUAUAAAAACUAAAAAUGUAAGUAAUAAUAGUUGUAAUAAAUUUGAUUCAAGUAGGAAUUAUGUUUCUAUUGAUGAAUUAUUGACAACUGAAUCUGAGUCGAAUAUGGCCGACUCUUUUUUGAAUACAGUUGACGAAAGGUCAACUUCUCCCUUUCCUUCUUCUUUCUUUUUUAUACCACCGAUAAAUUUGAUCGUUUCACAAAUUCACAAAUUGAAUGCCUCUGAAAGUGUUACUAGUAAUAAUGAAAGUGAAAACCAGGUCGAACAUCAAAACAAACAUCAGAGAGAACAACAAAACGAUAUAUACACGUUUAUUAAAAACAAUAACUAUGACAAACACCCAUUGUUAAAUAAAGAUUACUCUGAAGAAGCAACUAAACCUGACCUACGUAAUGAUUAUUUAUAUCUAAACAACUUUGUUUAUAACACAAACUAUCAAAUUAUCAAAGUAAAUAAAGCAACUAGGCGUUACAAAGAUGAAACUUCUACUGAUCACACGGAGAACACUGAUGAAGGUUAUAUAAAUAUGUUCGAAAGUAACUAUAUUCCAAAUGAAGAAAUAACAAAUUAUAAUAAAUUGAAGUCCAAUACGAAUGACUCUUUUUCCAUCAAUAAGGAAUGCUACAACUUGGAAACAAAUGUUCAAGAAUAUGAUGUAAGUAAUCAAUUUAAACUUGAUGAUGCUAUUAUAAAUUUACAAAACACAUAUAGAAGUGACUAUGCUAAUUGUAAUAAUAACCCAGAUUAUAAUACAUCUAACUUAAGUCUUUUUUCUACAUCUAGUCGGUUGCACAGCUCCAACUUAAAAGAACAUCAACUCAGUGACCAACAUAAUAGUAUCGACAUGUGUAGUAGUAGUUUGUUAAAAAGCAAGUCACUUAAUUAUGUUUCAAGUAAUUCUAUUAAACCUGUAAUAAAUAAUUAUUUAAGUGAUAUAUCUUUUAAAAAAAAAGUCUCAAAUUCUGACAUUACAAAUGGUGACAUUACAAAUGGAGACAUUACAAAUGGAGACAUUACAAAUGGAGACAUUACAAAUGGUGACAUUACAAAUGGUGACAUUACAAAUGGUGANNNNNNNNNNAUGGUGACAUUACAAAUGGUGACAUUACAAAUGGUGACAUUACAAAUUCUGAAAUUAUCAGUUCAAUUUGUUGUCAAAACCAAAACGAUGUCAAUUACAAACAUGAGAUGGAAUAUAGCACUGACAUACCAUGUGAAGAAAAUAAAAAUAUACAUAACAACAUUUUGAAUACUACACAAAAAUACGAUAAAAUAAGCGAAUCGCAAGUAAUGCAAAAGCAAAAUCAAACAGCAACAAAUACGUUUUAUAAUGUCAACUCAGGUAUUGGAGAAAAACAAAAGCAGGAGCAUGAACACAAACACAAACACAAACACGAGCACGAGCACGAGCACGAGCACGAGCACGGACAAAGAGUCUCCAAAAUAAAUAAAGAAUUGUUCCAAAAAGAAUACCA
ensembl:lncRNA